rnacentral:rRNA from 1 species
AGUUCGUCUUCCCUGGGUUAGCCGGUCCCUAAGCCGAGGCUGAAAAGCGUAGGUGAUGGAAAGCAGGUUAAAUAUUCCUGCGCCACCUAAAACUAUGGUGACGGGUCGACGGAGUACGUUAAGCGCGCGGACCAUUGGAUGUGUCCGUGGGGCAAUGAGGUUGGUUAGUAGGUAAAUCCGCUAACGGAAGACCAGGUUGUCACUAAGGGAAACCUUCGGGGGAACCGAUAGCGUAGCGCAAGGCUUCCAAGAAAUAGACUCUAAUCGUUGAUGGUGACCGUACCAAAACCGACACAGGUGGGUGGGAAGAAUAUUCUAAGGCGCGCGAGAGAACUCUUGUUAAGGAACUCGGCAAAUUAUCCUCGUAACUUCGGGAGAAGAGGAGCCACAAGUUGUGAUAGCACUAGCUGCUAGAGCAUCCUGUGGCCGCAGAGAAAUGGCCCAGGCGACUGUUUAACAAAAACACAGCACUAUGCAAAGACGUCUAAGUCGAAGUAUAUGGUGUGAUGCCUGCCCAAUGCCAAAAGGUCAAAAGGAGAUGUUAGCACGUUAAGUGCAAAGCAUUGAAUUUAAGCCCUGGUGAAUGGCGGCCGUAACUAUAACGGUCCUAAGGUAGCGAAAUUCCUUGUCGGGUAAGUUCCGACCUGCACGAAUGGUAUAACGAUCUGGGCACUGUCUCAACAAGAGACUCGGUGAAAUUGUAGUAGCAGUGAAGAUGCUGUUUACCCGCAAUAAGACGGAAAGACCCCGUGAACCUUUACUGUACUCUGAUAUUGGCUCUUGACUUGUCAUGUGUAGAAUAACCAGGAGACUAAGAAAGCUCAUCGUCAGGUGAGCUGGAGUCGUCGUUGAAAUACUGGUCUUGAUAAGUCGGGAAUCUAACGAAAUCCCAUGAAGCUGGGAUUCGGACAUUGUCAGACGGGCAGUUUUGCUGGGGCGGUAUCCUCCUAAAGAGUAACGGAGGAGUCCAAAGCUUGCCUCAUCGUGGUUGGCAAUCACGAGUAGAGCGUAAAGGUAUAAGGCAAGUUAACUGUGAGACCUGCAAGUCGAACAGAGACGAAAGUCGGGCUUAGUGAUCCGGCGGUGGAAUGUGGAAUCGCCGUCGCUCAACGGAUAAAAGGUACUCCGGGGAUAACAGGCUUAUCGCCACCAAGAGUUCAUAUCGACGUGGCGGUUUGGCACCUCGAUGUCGACUCAUCGCAUCCUGGGGCUGAAGAAGGUCCCAAGGGUUUGGCUGUUCGCCAAUUAAAGCGGUACGCGAGUUGGGUUCAAAACGUCGUGAGACAGUUUGGUCCCUAUCUUUUGUGGGCGUAGGAUACUUGAGAGGAGCUGCUUCUAGUACGAGAGGACCGAAGUGGACGAACCAAUGGUGAGCCGGUUGUUCUGCCAAGAGCAUUGCCGGGUAGCUAUGUUCGGAACGGAUAAGCGUUGAAAGCAUAUAAACGCCAAGCCUCCCUCAAGAUAAGGUAUCCCUAUCAGACACCAUAUAGACCAUGUGGUUAAUAGGUUGGGUGUGUAAGCGCAGUAAUGCGUUGAGCUUACCAAUACUAAUCGGUCGAUCGGCUUGACCAC